rnacentral:tRNA from 1 species
GGUGGCUCAGUGGUAGAGUACCUGCCUACCAAGCAUGAGAUACUGAGUUCAAACCCCAGUACCA